rnacentral:rRNA from 1 species
UACGUAGGGGGCAAGCGUUGUCCGGAAUCAUUGGGCGUAAAGCGCACGUAGGCGGCCCGGUAAGUCCGCUCUGAAAGUCAGAGGCUCAACCUCUGGAGGCGAGUGGAUACUGCCGGGCUAGAGUCCGGAAGAGGCGAGUGGAAUUCCUGGUGUAGCGGUGGAAUGCGCAGAUAUCAGGAGGAACAGCCUAUGGCGAAGGCAGCUCGCUGGGACGGUACUGACGCUGAGGUGCGAAAGCGUGGGGAGCGAACAGG